UGCUAACUUCAAGUGGAUUAAAGAAGUGGUUACCGACCCAUUAGUUGAAGUAUCGAUAAGUAGUCCACUACUCAAAGUAGACACUACAAGACCCAAUCUUUUCACACAGUCAGUAGAAAUAAAUGAGUGUAUCACACCCAUGUCAAUAAUAGUAAUCAAAGGAAUAUUGUGAAUGUAAAAUGUACCUCAGAUCAACCUCUUAGAGCUGGUAGUCUAAGGUCCUGCCAGUGCAAAC
rnacentral:lncRNA from 1 species